rnacentral:lncRNA from 1 species
GAGAUUCAUCUCACAGCCCGGGCCAGGGGGCCGGGGCCGGGGCCGGGGCCACGGCGGCCGCCGCCCGCAGACAAAGAAGCCAGUGCGGCUUGGCUGGGCUCGGCUCGGCCCGGGAGCUGGUCGGGACCCGCCGCCGCCCCCAGGCCCCCAGCCUGGGCUGGGCAGAGCCGAAGGGGGCUCCGCAGGCUAAGCCGGGCGGAGAGGGGACGGCCGGGAAGCGGGAAGGGGAAGCCGGGUGGGGGGGCGGUCAGGUAUAUAUUUUUCUUCGUUCCCCCUUCCACGACCCCCCCCUUUUCCCUCCCCCCCUUUUUUCCCUCCUUCUGCUACUUGGAUUUUUUUAGCUGCUGCGUCAUGAGCAUAAUUUAUGCAAAGAGCUUUGCCGCAUGCUGCACCGCCCGCGCCAGCCGCCGGGGGCGGCGGGCUGGGAGGGCGGUCAGGGAAGGGAGGGGAGCACGGGAGCCAGGAGCGAGGGGUGGGGGUGGGGAGGGGACCCUCUGGCCCUGGCCGAGCGGGAGGUCCCGGAGGCUCUCUCCCGGGACAGGGAUGGACGGUCAGUGGGUCUGGUUACUCAGCCCCUCCGAGGUGCCGCGGAGGUGGUUUCAUUUCGGAAGGUGCCAGAGUAGGAGCUGGAGUCCGGACCCUCCAUGCCACAUGGCCUUCAGCUGAGGGUUGGGGCGGUGACUCCCGGCCACCGCCUUUCCUCUAGGUAGUCAACUGUCCUCAAUGUUGAAAGUCAAGUUUAUGUCUAUCCCUCCCUCCCUAGAAAGGCGGGGGAACUCAGACAUCGCUCAGCCAACGUGGAGAACCUCUGAACAGCUGUGCCCCAGCGCCAAAGCAGCGAAGGGUCCCAGGUCUCUCACCCGGUGGCGGCCGUGGGCUGUGUUGUCUAAAAGCAGAUUUCCGGCCUUCUUGUCCAAGUAGACAAGGAAAUGUGAACAGAAAGACAAAGUUCAGUGGAAUGGUGAAAAACCUCUAGCAGCUUCUUAAGGUAGAGAGGGGACCAGAAAAGGGGUGGAUGUGGGUGGCUGAGGGAAAGCAGAUUGGAGAAGUGGUGGACAACUGAAAGAGGAAAAAGUUGGAAGACCAAAGUGGAAGCGUGGGAAUGGAGAGAAGAACUGGGAAGGAAGGAGGCUCUGUAAAUCCAGUGAAUGUGGAUCCCAAUACUGAGGCCACCUGCUGUCAUCCUAGGCUGUUCCCCCUCCCACCCUCUCCCGAUAUUUGGUGGUCUGAGGAUAGCUAGAGGUAGAUGGGUUAGAGGCAGUGUGAGAAUGCAGUUGGAGGCCUCAGUCCUCCCCGGGACUGCUCCGUAAGGCCUCGUGGUGGAAGGGCAUUGAAUGGCCCGGCCUCGUCGUUAACCUGGCCAGUGGACUAGGCUGUUAUCAGCUUGCUGUUUCCAUCUGGAAGUGAGCAGGUACUGCUGGCGGCGGAUUUAUGAGUAACCAAUGUAUUAGGAGUCAGAAUACUUAGGUUUUAGUCCCAACUCUUCCACUAGCCGUCCAGGCAAGUAAUUUAACUUCUUCAUUACUUAUAAAACAAGGAUAAUAUUUAUAAUGACAUUUAUAAUGACUACUUCAUAGGGUUAAGUUUGUGAGCCUGUAUGUGAAAAAACUGAAAGCUGCAAGCUCUAUACAACUGUAAGGUGUCAUUCCUUGUACAAUAGUUUGAACUCGUUUUAAUGGCCCUGUGAAACUCUACUGCGUGGCUUGAUAUUACAGUUCUUGGGGUUUUUGUUUGGCCGGUAGUCCCUGUAGUUUCUCUCCCUGGACUGUGAAUUCUUUGAGAGCACUGGUUGUGACUUACUCAUGUUUGUAUUUCCCACUACUCUUUAUGUGAAGGAGGGGCUCAGUAUUGCUGCUGAACUUUGUCACAUGAAGGUUGAAACUUUUCAUUUAUGUCACUUGGUUUGGUGCUACACAUAGAUCAAAGGCUUUGGAUAGCAUGGAUAUCAGCGACAGUUUGAAGAAAGAAAUAUGGAUGUGAUCAGAGGAGUUCAGGGAGACAUACAUAAAAAUGUUAAUCACGGUUUUCUUUAUGUUGUAUACACUUCUGCAUUGCUUAAAUAUUUGAUGAGCAUAUAUUACUUUUUGUUUCUGUGUUUAUUGGGGCAUAACAUGUACACAGUAUGUGUAUACCUUGAUAAAUUUUUACAUGUAUAUACAUAUGUACGUGUAUGUAUGUGUGUAUACAUAUGUACGUGUAUGUAUGUGUGUAUACAUAUGUACGUGUAUGUAUGUGUGUGUAUACAUAUGUACGUGUAUGUGUGUGUAUACAUAUGUACGUGUAUGUGUGUAUACAUAUGUACGUGUAUAUGUGUGUAUACAUAUGUACGUGUAUAUGUGUGUAUACAUAUGUACGUGUAUAUGUGUGUGUACAUAUGUACGUGUAUGUGUGUGUAUACAUAUGUACGUGUGUGUGUAUACAUAUAUACACGUGUAUAGAUACGUGUAUACAUAUAUACAUGUCUAUAUAUACAUGUAUAUACUCACACACAUAUAUAUAUCCAUGUAAUCCCCACCCAAAACAAGAUAUAGAGCCUUUCCAAGACCUGAGGAUUCCCUUAUGUACCUUCACCGGCCAUAAAUUCCCAAAGUAACCAUUAUUCUGAUUUCUGUCACCAUAGAUUGAUUACUUGAGCUGAUUCUUGAACUUCUCAUAAAUGGAAUCAGACAAUAUGCAAUCUUUUGUGUUUGGCUUCUGUCACUCAACAAAAUUUUUUUUUUUGAGACGGAGUCUUGCUCUGUCGCCCAGGCUGGAGUGCAGUGGUGUGAUCUCGGCUCACUGCAACCUCCGCCUCUCGGGUUCAAGUGGUUCUCCUGCCUCAGCCUCCCAAGUAGCUGGGACUGCAGGUGCGUGCCAUCACGCCCAGCUAAUUUUUUUUUUCUUUUUUUUUUCGAGAUGGAGUCUCGCUCUGUCGCCCAGGCUGGAGUGCAAUGGUGUGAUCUCAGCUCACUGCAACCUCCACCUCCUAGGUUCGAGUGAUUCUCCUGCCUCAGCCUCCUGAGUAGCUGGGAUUACAAGCACACGCCACCAUGCCCGGCUAAUUUUUGUAUUUUUAGUAGAGAUGGGGUUUCACCAUGUUGGUCAGGCUGGUCUUGAACUCCUGACCUCAUGAUCCGCCCACCUCAGCCUCCUAAAGUGCUGGGAUUACAGGCAUGAGCCACCACGCUCCCAGCUAAUUUUUUAUACUUUUGGUAGACACAGGGUUUCACCAUGUUGGCCAGGCUGGUCUCGAACUCCUGACCUCAAGUCAUCCGCCCUCCUCGGCCUCCCAAAGUGCUGGGAUUACAGGUGUCGGCCACCACACCCGGCCUCAAUAUAUGUUUUUGAGAUUCAUCCAUGUUGUUGAAUGUAGAAGUAUUUUUUAUUGCUGUGUAGUAUUCCAUUGCAUAAUUAUACUACAAUUUAUCCAUUCCAUUAUUGAUGGGCAUUUGCUUGUUGUUUGGGCCUCUUAGGAAUAAAACUGCUAUGAGCAUUCUUGUACAAGUAUUUUGGUGAACAUAUGCACUUAUUUCUUCCAGGUAAAUACUGAGGAGUAGAAUAGCUAUUCUAUUUUAUUUAGCUUUUGUCCAUACUGCUAAAUAGUUUUCUAUAGUGUUUGAACCAAUUUAUAUCUUUAUCAGCAAUGCAUGAGAGAGUUCUAAUUGUUUUACAUCCUCACCAGUAUGUGGUAUUGGUAGUCUUCUUGCAAUGAAAG